UACAGAGGGGGCAAGCGUUGUUCGGAAUUACUGGGCGUAAAGGGUGCGUAGGCGGUUUGUUAAGUCACUGGUGAAAGUUUUCGGCCCAACCGGAAAAUUGCCUGUGAUACUGGCGAACUUGAGUGCGUGAGGGGUGGGGGGAACGAGCAGUGUAGCGGUGAAAUGCGUAGAUAUUGCUCGGAAGGCCGGAGCCGAAGGGGCCCCACUGGUACGUAACUGACGCUGAGGCACGAAAGCGUGGGGAGCAAACAGG
rnacentral:rRNA from 1 species